rnacentral:rRNA from 1 species
UACGUAGGUGACAAGCGUUGUCCGGAUUUACUGGGCGUAAAGAGCGCGCAGGCGGUCGAUCAAGUCGAGUGUGAAAGCCCCCGGCUCAACUGGGGAGGGUCAUUCGAUACUGAUCGACUCGAAGGCAGGAGAGGGUAGUGGAAUUCCCGGUGUAGUGGUGAAAUGCGUAGAGAUCGGGAAGAACACCCGUGGCGAAGGCGGUGUGCUGGGUUGCAACUGACGCUGAGAUGCGAAAGUGUGGGGAGCAAACGGG